rnacentral:rRNA from 1 species
GAGUUUGAUCAUGGCUCAGGACGAACGCUGGCGGCGUGCCUAAUACAUGCAAGUCGAACGCGUCUCCGUUAAUGAUUUUAGGUGCUUGCACUUGAAAGAUUUAACAUUUGAGACGAGUGGCGAACUGGUGAGUAACACGUGGGUAACCUGCCCUUGAAGUAGGGGAUAACACUUGGAAACAGGUGCUAAUACCGUAUAACAACCAAAACCACCUGGUUUUGGUUUAAAAGACGGCUUCGGCUGUCACUUUAGGAUGGACCCGCGGCGUAUUAGCUUGUUGGUAAGGUAACGGCUUACCAAGGCGAUGAUACGUAGCCGACCUGAGAGGGUAAUCGGCCACAUUGGGACUGAGACACGGCCCAAACUCCUACGGGAGGCAGCAGUAGGGAAUCUUCCACAAUGGACGAAAGUCUGAUGGAGCAACGCCGCGUGAGUGAUGAAGGGUUUCGGCUCGUAAAACUCUGUUGUUGGAGAAGAACAGGUGUCAGAGUAACUGUUGACAUCUUGACGGUAUCCAACCAGAAAGCCACGGCUAACUACGUGCCAGCAGCCGCGGUAAUACGUAGGUGGCAAGCGUUGUCCGGAUUUAUUGGGCGUAAAGCGAGCGCAGGCGGUUUUUUAGGUCUGAUGUGAAAGCCUUCGGCUUAACCGGAGAAGUGCAUCGGAAACCGGGAGACUUGAGUGCAGAAGAGGACAGUGGAACUCCAUGUGUAGCGGUGAAAUG